rnacentral:tRNA from 1 species
UCCCUGGUGGCUCAGAUGGUAAAGAAUCUGCCUGUAAUGCAGGAGACCCAGGUUCUAUCCCUGGGCUGGGAA